rnacentral:rRNA from 1 species
GACGAACGCUGGCGGCGUGCCUAAUACAUGCAAGUCGAGCGAAGCGGGGACGGGUGAGGAACAGGUGGUAAACCUCCUUUAAGACUGGAAUAACGUCGGGAAACCGGAGCUAAACCGGAUACUCAUGUCUCGCUCCGCGCUGCAUUCGCUAGUUGGUAAGGUAACGGCUUACCAAGGCAACGAUGCGUAGCCGACCUGAGAGGUUGAUCGGCCACACUGGAACUGAGACACGGUCCAGACUCCUACGGUAGGCAGCAGUAGGGAAUCUUCCGCAAUGGUCGAAAGCCUGACAGAGCAACGCCGCGUGAGUGAUGAAGGUCUUCGGAUCGUAAAACUCUGUUAUUAGGGAAGCGGUACCUAAUCAGAAAGCCACGGCUAACUACGUGCCAGCAGCCGCGGUAAUAC